GGGGGCGACCGGUUUUGACAGCUUGCAGAGUUUGCUGGUAAGCACGUCGAGCAUUGUGUGGGGUCUCGUAAAUCGCAACACUCAAACUACAAAUGGCAAUAAUAGCUAUGCACUCGCUGCCUAAUUUUCAAGGAAAAUUGGCUUAAUCCGCGGGCCCCAGGAGGUCUGUGGACGAGUAUCCCGGUGGGCGACUGCGCCCUUUAGUUGCUCAUCAUAUGGGGUAUCAUCUUUUAAGGGAUAGUGCGGCAUGUGUCUCGGUUGUCGUGCGAAAUUUUAGGGACUGCGGUGUGGGUCAGGUCGUCUGUGGCCAUCCCACGCAAGAGGAUUAAGCGCAGAAUAAACGUGUAGAAAGCCUUCGGGCUCCGAGUUUGGACGCGGGUUCGACUCCCGCCGCCUCCACUU
rnacentral:tmRNA from 2 species